AUACGUAGGGGGCGAGCGUUGUCCGGAAUGAUUGGGCGUAAAGGGCGCGUAGGCGGCGCGGUAAGUCUGGAGUGAAAGUCCUGCUUUCAAGGUGGGAAUUGCUUUGGAUACUGCCGCGCUUGAGUGCAGGAGAGGUUAUCGGAAUUCCCGGUGUAGCGGUGAAAUGCGUAGAGAUCGGGAGGAACACCAGUGGCGAAGGCGGGUAACUGGACUGCAACGGACGCUGAGGCGCGAAAGUGUGGGGAGCAAACAGGAUUAGAUACCCUGGUAGUCCGCACUGUAAACGAUGAAUGCUAGGUGUAAGAGGUAUCGACCCCUUUUGUGCCGUAGUUAACACAAUAAGCAUUCCGCCUGGGGAGUACGGCCGCAAGGUUGCAACUCAAAUGAAUUGACGGGG
rnacentral:rRNA from 1 species